rnacentral:rRNA from 1 species
UUCUAAUAGAAUUAAUUAUUAGUAAAAUCUGCUCAAUGAAAUUUAAAUAGCCGCAACUAUGUUGUGCUAAGGUAGCAUAAUCAUUUGUCUUUUAAUUAAAGACUAGAACGAAAGAUUUCACAUUUUUGUAUCUAUAAUUUAAAUAAUAUUUUUAAAUUAUUUUAAGAAUAAAAAAAUUCUUAUAAAAAAAAUAGACGAUAAGACCCUACUGAACUUAACUUUAGUUUAACUGGGGAAGUUAAUUAAUUAUUAUUUUAAUAUAAAAUAUAACAUAAUUGACCUAAUAUAAUUAAAUAAAUGAUCAAGUUACCAUAGGGAUAACAGCGUAAUAAUCUUUAAAAGAUCUUAUUAAAAAGAUUGAUUGCGACCUCGAUGUUGAAUAAUUAUCUAUUAAAUGCAACCAUUUAAUAAGAAAGUCUGUUCGACUUUUAAAAUAUUACA